UGCUAUCGACUGGUACUUUUUGGUGUCAGGUUCGGCUGGAAUGCGAUAGGGGGGCAAGUGACUACAAGUGUUAUUUAUUUGUUUUUACAUUUUUACAUUGGGACUUGUUGUAACCAUGUCUAAUCAGCUGACCGCUACUGAUGGUUGUGCCGGGUGUAAAAUCCGAAUUUCGGCGCUGCUCUACGUGCAAGCACGUGCAAGGCUGCCUAUGAUCUCGAAUGUAUAAAAUUUGAGUAGUUCACGAUUUUACUCAUUUUAUAGACAGGAUUAAAAACGUAGCGAUUCCUGAAAGUGCCCAGAAUGUUUAAACAAAAAAACCGAAGAGUGGAAAUCGAGAUACCCCCUAUCCGGUCUAUUCUGUCGCCAGAGAGGAGCUGCAAUAUCACUCACAGAGUCAAAUCAACACCUGAAGUUGCUGAAUCCAGCAGUGACAUCUCUCAACUGGGUGAUUCUGGGGAUGCUAGCCCGGCGGGUUCGGCGCCUGAUUGCAAGCAAUUCCUUGAGGAGAUACGCGCUAUGCGCAUAGAAAUGAAUUUGUUUCGUUCCACUAUGUCAGUGCUAACAACUGCCAUCAAAACGCAGGGCAUGCGUCUGGACUCUUUAGAAAACCGCAUUGAGUGCCUUGAAACCGCAGCGGGUGUAACCUUUUAUUUUAUUUUACAUAAAAUAAAAUGUUUCACUAUUAAAUAUAGUACGGAAACUUAAAAUAAUAAAAUUCUUAAUUCUAAGUAUGUACAAUUUAUUAUUUACAUAGAAAAAUAAUUAAACUAAAAGUCUUAAUUCUAAGUUACUACUAAUAACAAGUAAAAUAAUACAAAGUUGAAACACUUAACUAAAUGGCCUAAAGAUUGUUAUUGACUACGACAUACGCUCGCACGCAGCCGUAAAGUGAAAGGUCUCGAAGGUCACGGCUCCUCGGCCUGCGCCCACUGGCCCGCUGGAUGCGUUCUGAGUAAGACGCGUACCUCUAAUUAUUGCUACGUGAGCCUACCUAUCUGCUGUCGUACUAUCGUGCUACCUAAAACGUGUUGUACAUAAUAAUUAUUUACUUUGUGAAUCCCCCGUUAAUUAUCGGGGCCCAUCUACCCGGUACCGGACGUCUGUCAAGCCCCUUAUUCUGCCUGGCCUGGCCUACUGCUAUCCACAUACUACAUCAAGACAUCUACGCCUGGAGCUACGCGACGGAAUUGCAGGACAGUGAUAGUGACGGAACUGAGUUACACACAUUCGGUCGUUUAUAAUUGUGAACCCACCUAUUAAACCUAAGAACCUA